UUUUUUAUUAGUUAUAUUGAUUUUUUUAUGUUUAUAAGAAUUAUAUUCAUGGACGAUAUAUUUUUCUGCACUUCAUUUCAUAGUCUGUUGAGAAUAUCAGGCCUUUAAAUCAAAGAUAUUUUUUUCAUUUGUAUUGCAUAUUUUGUUCAACCAAUGCUUUAAUUAAAUGCCCUUCGUUGGGUGUUUAUAAGAAAUAUUCUUAACAUUUGCUCAACAACUUAACAUUGUUUUAAAUAGUUGAAUUUUUCACUAGAGGCUCAAGUAUUAAGAAUGAUGGUGACCAAUACGGAAAGUACUUUGAAGGAAAGAACAGGACUUAUUGACAGCAAGUUUAUAUCAAUGGUUCAGGGACAUUUUCCGGACAACUAUUUGUCCGACUGCAUAGAGUUUGUAUUGCAAGAUAUUUCUCUUCAAAAAGAAGGAAGUGGAAAACAACGGGCUAAUUUCAAGCAAGUCUUCAUAACAUACACCGGAAAAGACAUAAUUCAGGAGGACACGGAAGAUUCUAGAAGAAAACUACUUGAGGAUCAAUCUAAUGUUGAUCAAGUGUCAGGGAUACCGUUGCAACACUUAACUUUUAUUAUGAAACAAUUGUUACCUUCCAAAAUAUUUAAAAAGAAAAUCGAUAUUCCUGCCCCACUCUUCCGUGCUAGAGACGUAAUGUAUCAUUUAUUAGGAUCACAAGCCGAUGUUAGCACAGGAACACUUCGAGAUAUAACCCGAACCCGAAGAAUAGAAUUACAAAAUAAAUUUGAUAUUCUUCGGGUUGUUGUGUUAAAAGCGGAAACAGCAGCGAUUUUUCCAAAUUCACGAGUUCCACAUGGACUUUUUUCAACACUGCUUCUAGUUGAUUCCUCUGAAACCCACCCUGGAUAUUGCAGACUUAAAUUUUCCUCGUCCAAGUCUGGGGAAAGCAAUAAGUAUUCUGGGUCUGAAAUAUAUCAAAAGGCUUUUACCGUUCCAAAUGGGUUACAUUCAAAAAUUAUUUUACCAGAACAGUACUUAUUUGAAGUUGAUUGUUUAGGAGUGCUUUGUUUGACAUUUCCAUUUCAUCAUCGCUGGAAUAAUAAAAAAAGAAUAAACGAUUUUCCAUCAACCUCUAUUGUUAGUUUGAUAAUGAAAACGGGUUGCACCUUAAUUCCAAGACCUCAUCCAAAAAGUUCAUCGCCAGAUAUUGAAUGGAAGUUUGAUUUUUCAGCAGCAGAGCACGUUAUUUUUGAGAAUCUUACGGCUGCACAGAUACAUGGGUUUUAUAUAUUAAAAGUUUUGAUUGAAAAUAAUGUCCAUCACUUGCCUUUCAAAACAAAGCAUUUAAAAUCGGUUUUCCUGAUGGCAUGUGAGAAAAUACAAUCCGAUAAUUGGGAAACCAAUUUUAGUGGAUGUGUAAUGCAUGUAUUGACUUCUUUGCUCUUAUGCUUUAAAUCAAGAUUCCUUCCAGAUUAUUUCAUUCCAGAAAACAAUCUCAUUGACUGCCAUAGAGAAGAUGACAUCACUACAAUUUGUGCUUUGAUUGAAUAUAUUCGUCUCUUUCCUGCGAAUGUUAUUCAAAUUGUUGUCGAAAGAUAUGGUUUUACUCAUGGAGCGAAUUUGAUUCAGCAGGUUUUGUCAAAUGUACAAGAUUUCACAUCUGCGGCAAAUGGAUAUGAAACAUGUUACAAUGUUUUUUUGCCUUUAUCGAUUGCAACAGCAAAAACAAUGGCAAAGAUAGGUUUUUAUGAUGUUUCGCUGAACAUACUAACGGAUCAAUUUGAACAGAGUCUUUUAGCACCAAAGACAGAACGAGGGCAAAUGUCAAUAACUUUCUCCGAGUUCGUUUGGUCGGCAUUAACGAAAAUGAAGCAAAAAGCAUCUCGAAUAAUACUAGCGAGGUUGUUUGACAUUCAGAUUGGAUCAAAUGUCUUGGACUUUGCUACACAAAAAGAGAGAGACAAUUCUUUACAAAUUUACCUUCCUUGGACACUAGACAAUAGGAUAGGCUGGGUAGAGAUUCCCCCUGUUCACACCAACGAUUUAAUCGGAAUUGCUAAUUUUCUGUACGAUUAUAGUAAACGAGAAUAUUGGAGGCGAAAUGUGGUGCUUGCUGAAUUAGCUAUCAAAAAUGCAAUAAAAUGCAUUCAAGAAACAAUAAAGGAAGAAUCAUUUUUUAAGGAAGACUUAAAGGAUGCAUCUUUGAAAGCAGAAGUAGAUGCACAAAAACAAAUGCUUAAGAAGAAACUAAUCCCUUACUAUGCGCAUUUGUUUAACAUUGCGAGAAUUGAAUUUUUCAUUUCUCCCAUGACAGAACAUAUGGACGACAUUGAGAGUCUUUGCAUGGAAUUUCCAGAAAUGUAUGGACUGUUCUAUUUAAUGUGUAUUUAUACAAAGCAACCUGAAAAGAAAAAGGAAUAUGUGAAAAAAAUGAUCGCCAAUUUUCAAGGAAAAGAUUUGCCGUAUUCUCAAGAACGUUCAUUCCCUAUGGACUAAGAUUAUUCAAACAGGAAAAACGUUAUGUGAAGAUAAACUUUAAUUGUUUUUUUUUUGCAUCUUUCAUGAAUGUCUCAUAGGUGUAUUUCAAUAAAAAGACAUUGAGAUAACUUGUUGAUAUUAAAAAAAAUCAUUUCAAUUAUUU
rnacentral:misc_RNA from 1 species